rnacentral:rRNA from 1 species
CCUACGGGAGGCAGCAGUGAGGAAUAUUGGUCAAUGGGCGCGAGCCUGAACCAGCCAAGUCGCGUGAGGGAGGACGGCCCUACGGGUUGUAAACCUCUUUUGCCGGGGAGCAACGGGCGUCACGUGUGGCGCCACUGAGAGUACCCGGAGAAAAAGCAUCGGCUAACUCCGUGCCAGCAGCCGCGGUAAUACGGAGGAUGCGAGCGUUAUCCGGAUUUAUUGGGUUUAAGGGGUGCGUAGGCGGAUCGUUAAGUCAGUGGUCAAAUGGAGGGGCUCAACCCCUUCCCGCCAUUGAAACUGGCGCUCGUGAGUGGAAGAGAAGUAUGCGGAAUGCGUGGUGUAGCGGUGAAAUGCAUAGAUAUCACGCAGAACCCCGAUUGCGAAGGCAGCAUGCCGGCUUCCGACUGACGCUGAAGCACGAAAGCGUGGGGAUCGAACAGGAUUAGAUACCCCAGUAGUC